rnacentral:snRNA from 1 species
AUACUUACCUGGCAGGGGAGAUACCAUGAUCACGAAGGUGGUUUUCCCAGGGCGAGGGUCACCCAUUGCACUCCGGAUGUGCUGACCCCUGCGAUUUCCCCAAAUGUGAGAAACUCGACUGCAUAAUUUGUGGUAGUGGGGGACUGCGUUCGCGCUCUCCCCUG